rnacentral:rRNA from 1 species
GACGAACGCUGGCGGCGUGCUUAACACAUGCAAGUCGAACGGAAAGGCCCUGCUUGCAGGGUACUCGCGUGGCGAACGGGUGAGUAACACGUGGGUGAUCUGCCCUGCACUUCGGGAUAAGCCUGGGCAACUGGGUCUAAUACCGGAUAGGAGCCAUUUUUAGUGUGAUGGUUGGAAAGUUUUUUCGGUGUAGGAUGAGCUCGCGGCCUAUCAGCUUGCUGGUGGGGUAAUGGCCUACCAAGGCGGCGACGGGUAGCCGGACUGAGAAGGUGGACGGCCACACUGGGACCGAGAUACGGCCCAGACUCCGACGGGAGGGAGAAGGGGGGAAUAUUGAACAAUGGGCGCAAGCCGGAUGCAGAGGCGCCGCGGGGGGGAUGACGGCCUUCGGGUUGUAAACUCCUUUCGCUAGGGACGAAGCUUUUUGUGACGGUACCUAGAUAAGAAGCACCGGCUAACUACGUG